UCGUGCCACGUCCUAAACUCCCGCCCCACCAUACCCAUGGUGUAAAGUAAGAAAGUAAGAUAGGAAAUGAUUAUGGGAUCCCAAUGAUUAUUUAGUAGCAGAACCCUAUCAAAAGCAAAUUAUACGGAUAUCUGUCUUCUUCUUCUAGCCUGAAAAUACAGUUACCAAGUUUGAUCGACUGCGAGAAAUGUUAUUCCAUCAGCAUUUUACCAAAAUGAAAACCCGAUUGGAGAACACGAUGACGCCUUGAAUCCCAAAAUUCCGAUUUCGUGUUCGAGUUCGAUCGUCGUCUUUAAUGGCUACCGAUGGUGGCAACCCUAGGGCGAGUUCAGCAAGAAAUUCACCAAAGAGACAUGGUGAUUCCGGCGUUAAACGUCAAACCGUUGACGGAAAAAGGCAAAAGAAAACGAUCGGUAAACAGAAUGAUGCGAAAAUGGAAACAAAUAGCCACCCUCAGACCAAUGGUUUGGGUUCUUCUGGUGGGCAGACAUCUGUUGUUUUGGAGCAGAGUCCUUGUGCCUUCUGCCAUUCAUCUAAGCAGACAGAGGGGAGUGGACCGUUUGUGGCGUAUGCUCAAGGGAAAGAAGUAACGGGGAAUGCGGAUAACUUCUCCAACGUUAUACAUGUUCAUUUAAAAUGCGUAAGCUGGACACCUAUGAUUUAUUUUAAAGAUGGUCUUAUCAAGAACUUAGAAUCAGAGAUCAUAAGGGCAAACAAGCUAAAAUGCAGCAGUUGUGGUAAAAAGGGAGCUGGUCUUGGCUGCUGUAGGAAGUUAUGCCAAAAAACUUACCACGUGCCUUGUGCGUAUGACAUCCCUGAUUGCAGAUGGGAUGUAAGUAACCAUUUCUGCACAGUUUGGGUAUCUGCUGUUAUAAUUAGGAUUAAUAUCGUAUCGUAUAUACCAUCCCAAACUUGACAAAUUUCUAUAUACCCAACCAAAACUAAAAAUUUCGUAUAUACCUAUCUUUAAGGAAUUUUUAAUUAAUGACGAUUCUACCCCUCUCCAUUCAGUUUGUUCUAACCCUAAUUCUGGUUUUUAUAUGGAAAUCUGAUACACCUGUAAGCAAGUCUGGUGUUAAUGUCCAGCCCAAUACUUUGAAAAUUAGUUAGUUUUCUAGGUUUGACCGUCAUCCUUUGAAAAUUAAUUUGUUUAUCGCAUUUGUAAAUUGGAACCAGGGACCUAGCUUUAAAUAUAAUAAAUUAGUUUAUUCUUUAAUUUGUUUGUCAUCCUUGUAAAUACUACCCAGCUUCACAUAUUAGUUUAACAUAGUUAUAUGCAUUAUCGCAUUCAUAAACCUGUUAGUGAAAAACAUUAUGUUAGUCGAACCCGUGUUAAUUGAACCCAUGUAUUAUUGCAUUCAUCAUGUAUGUAAGUUAUACAAGAAAGCAAGAAACUUAAAUAUAAUAUUUUUAGAAAAAUAUUGUUUAUGAGUAAAAGAAUAUAUUAAGUUAAAAACAAGUAAAAGGGUAAAAUGGUCCUUUAUUAAAUUGUAUUCAACUAAGUAGCACUGGAACGGGUACGGGAUCGGGGUACGGGGACGAUACGGGAACGAGGAACGGCAAAACUCAAAAUUUCAAGAUACGGGUACGGCAAUAAAAAAUAUAAAAAAAUAAAAAUAUAUUACACAAAUUCCAAAAAUAUUACAUCUUCCAAAGGUAAUAAAUUAUCAAUAAUCAAAUCACUUUCAAAUUCCGGUUCAUCUAGUGAGAGAUCGGCAAUCGAUAGAGAAUUAGAGAUGAUGAGACUUGAGAGUUUAGAGAUUAGAGAAGCCAAAUAUGAUAGGUCUAUUUAUUUAAUGGUCGGUUGUUGAAUUUGAAAGGGUUAGAACCCUAAAAUUAAAUGGAAACGGGCUGGAUACUUCUACCAGAUACGUCCCCGACAUUGGAAACAUUUAGGAAACGUCCCCGGCGAGUACCCAUGGUGUUUCCGUCCCCGACAAGUACCCGAUACGGGUACGGCCACAUAAAUGGAGUCCCCGUGCUACAUAGGAUGACUUUUUGUUGCUGUGUCCAAAGCAUGCAUCUAGCAAGUUUCCAAGUGAAGAGAAGGCAAAGUCUGGGAAGAAAGACACUGAGAAAGGAAUAUCUAGACAUCUGAAUCCUAGCAAAAUAUUGUUGAAUUAUGGAAAGGAUUUGGUGCUAUGUGGUUCAGGUCUUUCUUCGGAUGAAAAGUUUGAUCUCGUUGAUUUUGCAAGUACCAGUGGUGCAAUAGUGUCGAUAUACAAAAAUAAUGUCACCCAUGUGAUUGCUGCCACAGAUUCAAAAGGUGCAUGCACAAGAACAUAUAAAAUCUUAAUGGCCAUUUUGCAUGGAAAAUGGAUUCUUACAAUGGAAUGGAUAAAAGCUUGUAUGGAAGCUGGACAUUUGGUGAAAGAAGAACCAUAUGAAGUUCUUCUUGACAACCAUGGUUCUUGUGGUGGCCCUAAAGAAGGGAGAUUAAGACUUCAAAACAAUGCCCCAAGGCUUUUCAACAACUUGAGUUUUUACUUCAUUGGGGACUUUUUGCCGACUUAUAAAGCUGAUCUUCUAAACUUGGUUACAACUGCCGGAGGCACAGUUAUUGAGACCCGGGAUCAGUUAUUACUAUCAAGUCAUGAAGAAGAUACAAAAGCAAAUGUGAAUGAAGUUACUUUGGUUGUUUACAAUGCUGACUUUUCAUAUAAUCCUGGGUUUGAAGAUGCAACUGCCUUGAAAUGCCGAGUGUUAGAUGAAGCAGAGGAUUUAGCUCAAGAAGUCGGGUGUCAGGUUGUUCCCCAUAUAUGGAUUUUGGACUCAAUUGCUUGUGGUUUACAACCUUCUAUACCAAGGCACUAACUAUAUCUAAUAGGCUCAUGGUUUAAACGCUAACUUGCAUACAUGUUUUUGGGUUGUAUGCGUAGCUGAUUGUUGCGCAUUAUAAGCAAGCUACAUAGCUUUGGGUUGUAUAUUGGUUGCGGAUGAAUUGACAUGAAUUAGUUUAUAUUUUUGCUUGAUUAAUCAUGCAUUAUACCACAUGUUUUAUAAA